rnacentral:rRNA from 1 species
CUACGUGCCAGCAGCCGCGGUAAUACGGAAGGUCCAGGCGUUAUCCGGAUUUAUUGGGUUUAAAGGGAGCGUAGGCUGGAGAUUAAGUGUGUUGUGAAAUGUAGACGCUCAACGUCUGAAUUGCAGCGCAUACUGGUUUCCUUGAGUACGCACAACGUUGGCGGAAUUCGUCGUGUAGCGGUGAAAUGCUUAGAUAUGACGAAGAACUCCGAUUGCGAAGGCAGCUGACGGGAGCGCAACUGACGCUUAAGCUCGAAGGUGCGGGUAUCAAACAGGAUUAGAUACCCUGGUAGUCCGCACAGUAAACGAUGGAUGCCCGCUGUUGGUACCUGGUAUCAGCGGCUAAGCGAAAGCAUUAAGCAUCCCACCUGGGGAGUACGCCGGCAACGGUGAAACUCAAAGGAAUUGACGGGGACCCGCACAAGCGGUGGAUGAUGUGGAUUAAUUCGAUGCAACGCGAAGAACCUUACCUGUCUUGACAU